CAACCACCAGUGGAGAUACCACCCGUGUAUAAACCACCAGUUGAGAAGCCACCUGUGUAUAAGCCACCAGUAGAGAAAACACCUGUGUACAAGCCCCCUGUGGAAAAUCCCCCGAUUUACAAGCCACCAGUAGAAAAACCACCAAUUUACAAGCCACCGAUAGAGUAUCCACCAGUUUACAAGCCACCAGUAGAAAAACCACCUGUGUACAAACCUCCAAUUGAGAAACCUCCUGUCUACAAGCCACCAGUAGAGAAGCCUCCAGUUUACAAGCCACCAGUAGAGAAACCACCCGUGUACAAACCUCCAAUUGAGAAGCCACCUGUUUACAAACCCCCAGUAGAGAAGCCACCUGUUUACAAACCGCCAGUAGAGAAGCCGCCUGUUUACAAGCCACCAAUAGAGAAACCACCUGUGUACAAACCCCCAGUUGAGAAACCCCCUAUUUAUAAGCCACCAGUAGAGAAACCCCCAGUUUAUAAGCCACCAGUUGAGAAGCCUCCCGUAUAUAAGCCACCAGUUGAGAAGCCUCCCGUAUAUAAGCCACCAGUAGAGAAACCGCCUGUGUAUAAGCCACCGGUAGAGAAGCCACCAGUUUACAAACCUCCAGUUGAGAAACCACCUGUGUACAAACCACCGGUAGAGAAGCCACCAGUUUACAAACCUCCAGUUGAGAAACCACCGAUUUACAAACCACCAGUAGAGAAGCCACCUGUAUACAAACCACCAAUUGAGAAACCCCCUGUCUACACACCACCUGUAGAGAAACCUCCGGUAUACAAGCCACCAAUUGAAGAGCCUCCAGUUUAUAAGCCCCCAGUUGAGAAACCACCGGUUUACGGGCCUCCAUAUGAGAAGCCACCUCACUACCCAGGGUAUCCUCCAUAUGAGAAGCCACCUCACCACCCAGGGUAUCCUCCUGCCGAUGAUGACAAUCGUUUCUAAAACUUGUUAUAUUAAGAAAAUGUGAAAAAUAAGAGGUAUAUAUAGUUUUCGAA
rnacentral:lncRNA from 1 species